AGUUAAACUUCCAUGGUUUUGCGUCUGCCACCAUUGUUGCUGUUGAUUAAUCGUUCCGCGAGAGCCACGAAGCGCGAAGCGAAGUUCGUUCGCAAAACUCCAAAUCACCCUCUUUGCCAGGAAAGCUCCGUUUGUUACUAGACUAAUGUAUUUCGUUAUUAUAUACUAAUGGUUAAUGAUCUCUGCAUUUUGUUUCUAGACGCAGGAGCAGCAGUGCUGCAGUUGGUUGGGACGAACACGACCAGGCAGCAAUGGUGGUGUGUGCGUGUCUUUCACAGAGGGGCCAUCAAUCGAUGUUAUCGGAGAGAUUAUUGGAUUGAUCAUAAUUUAUGCUUUCAGUUAAACGAGAGAAGUAAUAGCUUUUCGGAUAGCGCGGCCGAAGACUGAGUUAAGAGAAAUGAAAGAAAAGAGAACGAUCGAGAUGGAAGGGGAAAAAUUGAGCCGAGUGUGGUUCUUCAGUUCUGUCUCUCAUGCCUCGAACGGAAUGUAGGAGACGAGGAGAAGCCAAUGGCGAAAUGGUAAGAAUCGUAAUAGAUUGAAUACCAAUCGAGUACACUUACAACAGCCAGAAACGUCAAAGGUACUUUGGCCGUAUCCUUCAUGUUUAUAUUUCCUAAUGCGAGAAGCCAUAUAUAUUAACUAAGUUCAAGACUUGCAGGAACAACUAGAGGGAAAAUUAAAAGUAGAAACAAGCUCAAGGACACUUUGUCACCUUCUUCAACCUGCACAAGGCGAUGACACGUCGCGAGCCUAGCUCGACGCAGUACCUGCUCCGCAUUGUGGGAGCUAGAGAGUCAUUGUAACUGCGGCCGAGAAGUCGCAUAAAGUUGCCACGAGACACUAUCAACGAUUGUCUGAAGCACGAACAGUCGACCCUGAAGAAGAAUGUGAAGGCUCGAGGAGGAGAUUCAACCUCGCGAUUAUGGCAAAAACGCCAUCGCAACAUCUUAUUGACUAUACCAUUGGCGUCGUAAUGAACGGACGCAUCGACAUGGGUACUUGACGACGGACACCGGUAUGGAUCGCUUGUAACGAGCAAUCGGUGGUGACGCGCCUCUCACUACGAUCAGGUAAAUGGGCCAGGCCCAGCAGGUAGGAACGGGGAGAGACUGGGCAGAAGUGCUCGCAGGCACAUUUCAUUUUCCACUUUUCUCUCUUUUCAGUUUUUUCAAUAUUUGUUGUAUCAAUUUAUAUAUUCU
rnacentral:lncRNA from 1 species